rnacentral:lncRNA from 1 species
GAAGAGAUGGAGCGGCAGAGAGAGAGUUACCAGAGAGAGAUGACAGGCCUGAGAACAGACAAACAGAGACUGGAGGAGAAGGUUCUAGAGCUCAACCGACAGACCCAAGAGAACACCGACAGAAACGUUCUAGAACACAACCAAGAGAACACCGACAGAAACGUUCUAGAACACAACCAAGAGAACACAGACAGAAACGUUCUAGAACACAACCAAGAGAACACCGACAGAAACGUUCUAGAACACAACCAAGAGAACACCGACAGAAACGUUCUAGAACACAACCAAGAGAACACCGACAGAAACGUUCUAGAACACAACCAAGAGAACACAGACAGAAACGUUCUAGAACACAACCAAGAGAACACCGACAGAAACGUUCUAGAACACAACCAAGAGAACACCGACAGAAACGUUCUAGAACACAACCAAGAGAACACAGGCAGAAACGUUCUAGAACACAACCAAGAGAACACCGACGAGAGAAUCCGGUCAGAGUGUGAGGAGCGCCUGAGGGCGGAAUUUAAAGCGGAGCUUGACGCGGCUGUUGCCGCGAGCAACCAGAGAGAGCAGGAGCUGCAGACUCAACUAGCCGAUCUCCAAUCACAGGUGGAGAGGAAGGCGGGGCCAGCAGAGGGUCACCAUGACGACAGUGAGAUUGACAGGCUGCGAAGGGAGGUGCAGGAAACCAGAGACAUGAACCAGAGACUGAGAGAACAGCUGCAGG